GGGGCGCACGUGUCGCGGGAAAUGGAGUGGACACCGGGGGCUUCAGGGGAAGACAUCCAAACGACCGGGAGUCACGCGUGGACUCUUUCGCGCGAGGUUACCAAGCAUGUCCUGAAGAUGAAGAUACUCUCAGCCUAACGUCUCCAAGCAAAUAUUGAUUCAGCAGUAUCCCCAGGCAAAGCCACACCAUAUAUCAGUGAACAGAGAAACAACUGCCCUUCUCCGGGCCCCUGUCUGAGAAGCUGGAGCAUCAGCCCUGGAGCUCUCCGGAGCAGUUUCCUUGCUCACUGUCCCCAGCUGGACACAGCCGCAUGCAGAGGUCCAAAGCACGUAAACAGGAUACCCACCCUGCAUUAUCUUAUAUUUUAAGUCAAUAUGAAGAUGGACAUUCUACCCCUGAGACCAAUUUCGAUCAAAUACUUUUGUCAAUAAAAAGAUACUAAUGUC
ensembl:lincRNA Gm2694 predicted gene 2694